rnacentral:rRNA from 1 species
GAGUUUGAACCUGGCUCAGGAUGAACGCUGGCGGCGUGCCUAAUACAUGCAAGUCGAGCGAACCACUUCGGUGGUGAGCGGCGAACGGGUGAGUAACACGUAGGUGAUCUGCCCAUCAGACGGGGACAACGAUUGGAAACGAUCGCUAAUACCGGAUAGGACGAAAGUUUAAAGGUGCUUCUGGCACCGCUGAUGGAUGAGCCUGCGGCGCAUUAGCUAGUUGGUAGGGUAAAGGCCUACCAAGGCGACGAUGCGUAGCCGACCUGAGAGGGUGAACGGCCACACUGGGACUGAGACACGGCCCAGACUCCUACGGGAGGCAGCAGUAGGGAAUCUUCGGCAAUGGGCGAAAGCCUGACCGAGCAACGCCGCGUGAAUGAUGAAGGCCUUCGGGUUGUAAAAUUCUGUUAUAAGGGAGGAACGACUCUAGUAGGAAAUGGCUAGAGUGUGACGGUACCUUAUGAGAAAGCCACGGCUAACUACGUGCCAGCAGCCGCGGUAAUACGUAGGUGGCGAGCGUUAUCCGGAAUUAUUGGGCGUAAAGAGCGCGCAGGUGGUUGAUUAAGUCUGAUGUGAAAGCCCACGGCUUAACCGUGGAGGGUCAUUGGAAACUGGUCGACUUGAGUGCAGAAGA